AACAUAAGGAGAAUUAGUUAAAACUAAAAUGAAAAUAGCAACACAAUGUUCUCAUUUCCAAACAUAAGGUGAAGAAACAGAAAUUAUUAAGCACUUGCAGAAAACACAGCCGAAAAGGUGAAAAACAUAAACAGAGUUGGUGAAAUCCAUGAGAUUGAUGUUGCUUGUCUUAUCGAUUCACUCACAGCAAAUGAGGAACAAGUUAUGAAUAGCAGCUUUCCAUUAACAUUCUCAGAGAUCACAUCAGAAUGUAUCAGUACAAAAGUACAGAUCCUUGCACUUCAUUUGAUGAGUGAGUAGGUACAAGUUUGUUAAGAUUUGUAUAAGAAGAAAAAUAGUCGAAACUAACUGCAUUCGUCAUUUGAUGAGUGAGUCGCGGAACCAAAUCAGAGCCUAGGAACAGUUCUGCAGAUUUAAACUUCACCAGGUGGCUUUAUAGUGAAAAUCAUCUCUUGCAAUGUAUAUCAGACAGUCGUCAUCAAGUGAUCUAAUUGAUUCCCUGCCAGAGAUAAAAGAAGAGAAGAUAAAUAAUGGAAUUACUUGAUUCCUGCAGAGAGAGGGUAGUGGGGUGAGAGAUUACUUGAUAUUGUCCAUAGAUCAAAAUGAAACAACUUGUACUUGUUUUACUAUCAAUAUGCAGAACUGUCUUAUUCUGUAGAUCGGCCUUUUCGAUCAUCUACAGUGAGACCAAUGCUGCAAGUUAGUUUUCUAGAGGAUGAUCAAACUACCAUGGGAGGGGAGAAGAAGUUUUGAAGGAGUGAGGAAGAACAUGUCAUACGUUCAGCAUGGGGUUUUUCCUACACACUGAUUGAGAGGGAGAGAUUUUAGGAAAAGAUACUGAAUUCUGUUAUAUCAAAAGUUGCCCUGUUUCUGUUACAUCUUUGGGUAUUUAUCCUAAACCAAAUUGUUCCCUUAAUUCUAUAUUUCCCCUAGCCAUUACACGUGGCUUGAUUAUUUCAUUUAAACUAUCCGGGCUGCAUGAAACGCAACCGUUUAACUAAUGUUUUAAAUUCUUUACCGCUUCCUUCCCACGCUGUCGUUUUAUGCUUGAUUUGAAUUAAAUCCUUCUUCUUCUGCGCUAGCCCUCAUCUUCUUUGGUUCCAGUCGUGACAAUGCCCCCUCCAUGACCACCACCUUGUCCUCAAGGUGAAACUCAGGAAAUCGGAAGCAGAACUCAUCAACAUUUUUCCAGGUGGCUUCUGUCAAAGGUAUGUCCUUCCAUAUUACUAAAAAUUGAGUAAUCGCUGUAUUGCUUUGUUUAAUCAUUCUUCUCUUGAUGAUUUGUAGAGGCUGCAACAGGGAUCGAUGCUGAGGAUUGGGAAGAUCGGAGUGGAUGGCAUGAUGGCCCACGUGUUUCUUGAGCUGGGAGACGUGGAAGACGGGGUGAACCGCCGAUGUAGCAGGUAACUGUAAUUCAUAUGCUACGGUGCCAAUUUUCUUAAUAACUGUAUAGGGACCAUAAUAUUUGGCUGAUAACUUGUGGGAAACUCUCUUGUGAACGGAGUGUUGUCUGUAAGGUUGUAGUUUGACAUACACUGAAUCCCCCACCGAAAAACUUCGUUCGCUUCUUUUCUUGUUGGCUUGUUGGGUCAUUCUGUGUUGAGAUUGUAGGAGAUUACUUCUGAUUUCUUUGAACAUUUCUUCUCGUUGUGUGAGGUAGUGAUCCACAGCCUCAACUGGGGAGUCCUUAUGAGUGUAGGGAAUGUGAAUUGGUGGUACCAUGCCAUAGAGUAUCUCAUAAGGUGUCUUCUUUGUCGAAGUGUGGUAAUUGGUGUUGUACCACCACUCGCAAGCACUCAACCAUUUUCCCCAUAAGGUUGGGGCAUUCCCUGUCAUGCAUCGGAGGUACCCUUCGAUACACUUGUUAACCACCUCUGUCUGGCCAUCUGAUUGGGGAUGAUAGGCGGUGGAGUAGUGCAGAUUGACGCCCUGGUGUUUGAACAAUUCCUUCCAAAAUUGGCUGAGAAAAAUGUUGUCUCUGUCGCUUACUAUGGUGGCUGGCAUUCCAUGGAGUUUGUAGACAUGCUCCAUGAAGACCUUAGCUACAGUGGGGGCAGAGUAGGGGUGGGAGAGAGCCAUGAGAUGGGCAUAUUUGCUAAACCGAUCGACUACUACCAGGAUGACUUCCUUCCCUUCAGAUUUGGGUAGGCCUUCAAUGAAGUCCAUGCUGAUGUCAAUGAAGGGGGCAAUAGGAAUGGGUAGAGGUUGUAGAAGUCCUAGAAGCUUCACAUUCUCGGUCUUGUUUUGUUGGCAAAUGGAGCAUUCGCGGACAUAUUGCCUUACCAAUUUCUGUAACUUUCUCCAGUAGAAUACCUGCCCCAGUCUCUUUGUAGUGACCGUGGCUCCUGAAUGUCCUCCAGCUGCAGAGUCAUGGUAAAAACUGGUGAGCUUAGUUUGUAGUUGUGAGUCUCGACCCACCACUACCUUCCCUUUCCGAAGGAGAGUGUUAUUGACCCAUGCAUAGGCAGGAUGCGAGUUGGCAUCUUUUCUCACUUCCUUAAUGACUCUCUGUAAGUUUGGAUCAGCUGCCCAGGUCUGUCUGAUUUCCUCCAUGAUAUUGGUGGAGAUUGAGGAUAGGGUUAAGGCACUCAAUUCUGUGCUUGAGAUCCUGGAAAGAGCAUCUGCUGCCAAGUUGUCUUUGCCCUUCCUGUACUCUAUAUCAUAAUCAAAGCCUAAGAGUUUAGUUAACCAAACCUGUUGUGCCUCAUGAGUUGCCUUGUGAUCGAGUAGGAAUUUGAGACUUGAGUGGUCGGUUCUGAUUAGGAAGCGUCUUCCUCUUAGGUAAUGCUUCCAUUUAGUGACAGCAUAGACAAUGGCCAAUAGCUCCCGUUCAUAUGCUGAUAGAUUUAGUUGUCGAGGUCCCAGAGCUUUGCUGAUAAAAGCGAGUGGAUGCCCUUCUUGCAUCAAAACUGCUCCCAUACCCACUCCUGAUGCAUCUGUCUCUACGACAAAAGUCUUGUCGAAGUUUGGCAACGCCAGAACAGGGGGAUUAGCCAUGGCGUCCUUUAAUUGAUUGAAGGCCAUAGUGGCCGAACUAGUCCAGUUGAAGGAGCCCUUCUUCAACAGCUGAGUAAGGGGUCUGCAGAGUUCCCCAUACCCUUUCACAAACUUCCUAUAGUAUCCAGUCAACCCCAAAAAUCCCCGCAGUUGUUUGAUAUUAGUAGGAAUAGGCCAAUUCAUCAUUGCUACCACUUUGUUAGGGUCGGUGGCCACUCCUUCUUUGGUGAUAAUGUGGCCCAAAUACUCCAUCUGAUUGCUACCAAAUACACACUUCUCCUUCUUCGCAACCAGCUGGUUGGCACAUAAUAGGUCAAACACAACAGUAAGGUGAUGCAAGUGGUCUGUCCGGCUCUUGCUGUAGAUCAAUAUAUCGUCAAAAAAAAACUAAAAUGAACUUCCUCAAAUGUUGCCUAAAGAUGUCAUUCAUUAAACUCUAGAAGGUUGCUGGGGCAUUAGAGAGCCCAAAGGGCAUGACAAGGAAUUCAAAAUGGCCAUUGUGAGUGUGAAAUGCAGUUUUAUACACAUCUUUAGGGUCCAUUCGAAUCUGAUGGUAGCCUGCCCUUAAGUCAAUUUUAGAGAAAAUGGUUGCUCCUUCCAAUUCUUCUAAUAAUUCAUCAAUAAUAGGGAUGGGAUACUUAUCUUUUACAGUCAGCUUGUUGAGAGCGCGAAAGUCCACACAAAAUCGCCAUGUAUGGUCUUUUUUCUUGACUAGAACUACUGGAGAAGCAAACAGACUGUGGCUUGGUUGAACAAUUCCAGCGUCUAGCAUUUCAGCCACUAGUUUCUCCAAGGUAUCCUUUUGCAACCCUGAGUAUCUGUAUGGCCUUAGGUUGACUGUCAGGUUUUCAUCCUUCAGAGGUAUCCUAUGAUCAUGUCCUCUGGCAGGAGGUAGUUCCACUGGUUCUCUGAAAAUAUGGGAAUAAGUAUCCAAUAGUGCCUGAAUUGGAAACUCCUCUGCAUGUUGGGCAGGAAGGUACCCUUCCUGAUAACUGAGUGUUGUGCCCUCCACCUCCAGCACUCUUAGACUACAAAUAUUCACCUCUGCCAACAGUGUUUUACGUGCAAGUAGUCCACUUAACUCUUCCAGUCGAUGGACUGGGUGAGUAUAGGAUUGUCCCCUUUUAGUGUCACUUCAUUUCCUUCCCACCAAAAAUUCAUCCAUUUGUCUUCGUAAUUUGCUAAUACAUUUCCCAGUAACUUCAACCACUGUAUGCCUAGGACCAUAUCAUAGCUUUGUAAAGGCAUUACAAAAACAUCCGCCUGGAACUGGACGCCUUGCAUUUUCCACUGCAGGUUCUUGCAGAGCUUAGUACAAGACAUGGUACCCCCAUUUGCUGCUUCUACUAGCAUAGGUUUGAUGGGUGUCAGGAGACAAUUCUGUUUACUGGCGAGGUUGGCAUUAAGGAAGUUGUGGGUGCUGCCUGAGUCAAUCAAAAUGAAUAUAGGGCAUUUGUCUAGUUUGCCCCAUACCUUGAUGGUGUGGCACCCCGUGGUGCCCUGCAAUACAUGUAAUGACAGAUGAGGGGUAAGGGCUUCUACAUUCAUGGUUUCAAUGGUUUCCUCCUCUUUAGAGUUUUCUUCUUCGUCUUCGAUGAUGCAUAGUGAGUAUAGCUUUCGGUUUUUGCAUCUAUGUCCUGGUACAAAUUUUUCAUCACACCAAAAGCAUAAUCCCUUGGCUCUACGCUCAUCCAUCUCCCUGGUUCUAAUAGGUCUGGAGGGUCUGGGGUUGGAGUUGACAGUUGCGUUGUUGAAUGGUGGCCUGUUAGGGGUAGGUAGUAAGGCAGGCUGGGGAGAUUUAAACGUAGUGAAGGUGGAGUUGGAAGUUGAACUGCUGGAGGGAGUGGGGUAAGCUGGCUUUUGGUUGUGUUGGUAAGUGUUUGUUUGAGCUGGAAGUUUAGUGUGAUGGGGAGUGUUUCUUCUAUACGUGAGUGUGUUAUCAUGGAGCCUAGCUAGGUUAUAUGCUUGUUUGAGAGAUUUGGGUUCAAACAUUUUUACUAAGUUCUUAAUCUCAGUCUCUAACCCUCCCAAGAAAAAUACUAAGGCUUGCUUUUCAGAUACCUGAGCUCUAUUCCAGAGCAUGUCAAACUCCUUGAUAUAGUCUUCAAGAUUCCCAGCUUGUUUGUGUUCUGUUAACUCCUCCAAGGGGUCCUUUUGUCCUCCAAACCGGCAGCACAGGGCUUCAACAUAAUCUGCCCAAGUCGUGUCCUGUCCUUCCAAGUUUCUGAUGAAGUUCUGGUGCCAAUACAGUGCCAACCCAUCCAAGUAGUAGGAGGCUAGUUUCAAUUUGUCUGGCUCUGCUAUCUCUUCAAGGUCGAAAUAUUGAUUGCAUUUAUACAACCACUUAUGCACAUCUUCGCCUUCAAAUGUUGGAAAAUUCCUCUUGGGCUUGUGAAACCUGUAAGACCCUUGUGAACCUUCUCCAACCCACCCUUGACUGCAGGUUGUUGUAGGCGGUUGAGGAGCAUGGGGCCUUUGGGAGGAGCUAGUCUCUCCAGUGAGAGUUUGUAGGGUGUGUUUUAUCGCAAUCUGCUGAGUAGCUAUUUCUUUCAUCAUAGCCUUGAGUUGGCCAAGAUCAUCCGACUGUGUGUUCAGUUUGAUUUCUAUUCCAUCAAUUCUUUGGUUAGCAGCUUCCAAGGAACCGUCACACCUUCUCACAUCUUGGGACCUGGUCUCUGGAGGCAUUUUGAGGAGAUCCAAAGAUGAAGCUCUGAUACCACUUUGCUGCAAGUUAGUUUUCUAGAGGAUGAUCAAACUACCAUGGGAGGGGAGAAGAAGUUUUGAAGGAGUGAGGAAGAACAUGUCAUACGUUCAGCAUGGGUUUUUUCCUACACACUGAUUGAGAGGGAGAGAUUUUAAGAAAAGAUACUGAAUUCUGUUAUAUCAAAAGUUGCCCUGUUUCUGUUACAUCUUUGGGUAUUUAUCCUAAACCAAAUUGUUCCCUUAAUUCUAUAUUUCCCCUAGCCAUUACACGUGGCUUGAUUAUUUCAUUUAAACUAUCUGGGCUGCAUGAAACGCAACCGUUUAACUAAUGUUUUAAAUUCUUUACCGCUUCCUUCCCACGCUGUCGUUUUAUGCUUGAUUUGAAUUAAAUCCUUCUUCUUCUGCGCUAGCCCUCAUCUUCUUUGGUUCUAGUCGUGACAAUAACCUAUGCCAGCAACUUGUAAAAACUCCUCCUUAGAAGUAAAAAAAAGGGCUAAACAGUUACUUUGUAUAUUUCGACAGUAAGGAAUGUUGAUAAUAGGUAUAUAAAGAACUGAAUGUUGAUGAUAACCAGAAAAACAAAGAACAAAGAACUUGCAACAAAGAACAAAGAGCAGAAUGUUUUUCCUAUUGGUUACUGCCAUCCCUUAGCUUUUAUUUAUAGAUGAAAUCAAUCACAACACAAUUAAGAAACAUAACUAACAUAAACUCCUUCAUUUAUGGAGCUUAUCCUAAAUAAGUUUCAUAUCUAAAGAAGUAAAAACUCAUUAAACAACAUUAAGAUAAUGAUGUUACUAAUAGAUAAACAUUAAUGAAAGAUAACAUAUGACUGAGACAUUAAUUUCAGCUUUGGUGCCAUAACUUCAACACUCCUCCUUGGUUCCAAAGCUGCACAUUCCUAUCAUCUCCCUUAGAUCUUGAAAUCUAUCUUUAGCUAAAGGCUUGGUUAAAUUUCUAACUUUCUAGGAAAUCAAACAAAGGGUCUAAAAUAAGUAAUAACAUUAAAAAAAAAAAAACAGGGGAAAUGGGAGCGAUAUGAAGCUUACUUUUGCAAGACUGGUAUUCAGUGACAUGCAGGGUUGACCGGGAGGCAUGAAUCCACUACAAUAGACUGCAGAGGCAGAGCCGAACUGGAUGCUGGAUGUUAUUAUGUUCGAAGACAAUUUUGACAAAAAGACCAUCAUUAUCUUACAUACCAGACCAGAGCAUCAGAUUUUCAAUGUUGAAACAGUAAUCAGAUUUCAAGCUAUGAUAAACGAAGAUUCGUGAAACAUUAUGAGGCAUCAUUCAUAAAGAGUCAAAUAGGGACAUCUAUACACGCAUGGUAGAAAAUUUGGGAAAUUUGUUAUUUUGUUGGGGGCUGAACCCCAAUCCCAGUUAAUUGAGAAAUGUUACCAACUUUUAAAGAAAAAAUAAUAAUUUUAUCAUAUGAGAUUUGUGGAUAAUAAAAUAAAUAAUACAGAGUUAGAGAGAGAGUGUGUGGAGUAAUAAUAAAAGAAAUUAAAUUAAGGAAGGAAGGAAGGAAGGGAGAGGUUAAAAACCUUUGUAUUUAAGAAUAAAGAUUAAAAUGCUUGGUUAAAUAAUAUCCGUACGGUUAAAUGCUGCAUGGUGAAAAUGCUCUAGCCAUCAAAUAUGAAAAGAUGAGAUUUGUGGGUAACAAAAUAGAUAGAUAGAGAGAGAGAGUAUGGAGUAGUAAUAAUAAUAAUAAUAAUAAAAGAAAUUAAAUUCAGGAAGGAAGAAGUUAAAUACCUUUCAUAUAUGUAUGUUCGGUGAAAAUGCUCUAAUACUCAUUACAAAGGAAAGAGUAUGGAAUAAUAAUAAAAAAAAAUAAAAAAUAAAAAAUAAAUGAAGGGAGAGGUUAAAUACCUUUCAUAUAUGUUCGUUGAAAAUGCUCUAAUAUUCCUUGGUAUCCUCCACCCUUUACAUAGCGACCCUCCAUUUGAAUGUAGUGCCCAUCAAUUACAAUAUGUUUAAUGAUAGGCCAUUCCUACUCGCUCUCCUUUCCCAUCCUCCUGUUCUUCCGCUCACCUCUUCACUGCAGCCGUCGAUUCUUAAGAAUUGCAAAGAGGGAAGGUAGGGUAUCAUCCCUUGAGACUCAGAUAGCUGUCCAAGAGAAGAGAGAUUUUGCAGCCCCACUUCUGGAAGAGAUUCCAUAUCAUCUAUGAAAUAAAUACCUAGUUCCUUCAAUUUGGAGAGAGGACGGAUAAAUGAAGAAGAAGAAGAAGAAGAGACUGGUGAUUUCAUCUUCAUUGUCUCCUGUAAUGGCAUUGAACUAGUCCUCCACAAAUGAAGACCUUCAUUGAGUGUUGGAAACAACGGCAUUGAAGUUAGAUUUGGACACCGUCUUAUUUUUAAGGAAGAAAGACGUGGAAAACAGAGCAUUCUCAACCAUUCUUCUAUUGUUGACUCAUCUCUACUCUUCUUCCACCAUCCCUUCAGUCUAGGAACUAUUCCAUAUUAGCAGCCUACAGCUGGAGGACAAAAGAGAGUGAGAACCAUAUAGGACUUGAUAUAUUAAACGCAAUCAAAGAUACUACGGUGGCACUAAGAAAGGGCAAGGCAACCGCAGACACCAUGAGAUUUCUAGGAGAAAGAAGCUGCGUGGUGUAAAGAGUUUAAAUGUUCCACUCACAUGCUUGAAGACUGUUGCGGACGGUCAAGGACCAAUUGAUCACAAUCCUUUAGCCCAUAAACAUCAAAUUGCUUGGACAUUGAAAAAAAGUUUAUAUUUGAAGCUGUCCCAUACCAGGUUUGAUGUGAAUGUCUGACCAUUGAUCCGCACAGGAGUGUUCAUUGAUGAUUCAACCAUACGAGGCUGAGUUGAAGCUCCACCCUGCAACUUCAGUUGAAACAAAUUCACACAACCAACCAACAGAAAACACAAUAUGCUCUCAAAUCAUUUCGAAAAUAUAAGUCCUGAUUUUUCAAGCACUAUAAUAGUUGGAAUCUGGACAAAUAAAAUGCGGGUUGUCCAAAUUUUUUUAACAAAAAAUUAAAAGUAGACGACAUGCUGCCUACUCCAGUUACAAAAAAAAUAUAUUAAGGGCCUAAGCACGGGCCCUAAUAAAAAUGGGUCGAGUUGGCGAGGCCUAGCAGCACCUGACCUUUACUUCUUUUUUUUUCUAAUUGUUUUUUUUAAUUAAAUAUUUUUUAUUGAUUAAUCUAUAUUUUUUUUAUUGAUGAACUUUAGUUUUGAUAAUAAAAAAAAAUAUUUUCAAAUAAUAUUUAUAAUAUGUACAGCCUUACAAGGUGUUUUUUUUCUCUUUUAUUUUAUCCAAUCAAUUUAAUUUGUGUCUAUAUUUAUAUUAUUAUUUGCUUGAAUAAAAAGAUUAUUUUAAUUAAUAAAUUUAGCAAAUACAAUCAGGUAAAUAUCCCGUCUUUUAAGAUUAAAUAUCUUGAUCUACACCUAUCUCUUUAUUUUUCAAGUUUUAUUUUUAAGUAUUGUUAAUGACUUUUUAUUUAUUUAUUUGCACACAUAAUUCUCGAUUUAUUUAAUUACAUGUAUGCAUAAAAAAAAUUUAUUUUAACUUAAGUUUUUUAAACUAUAGAAAUGUAUUGAAAAAACUUGCAUCUAUAAUUUUUUAUAGAAAAUAAAAGUAUCUAACAUGCAGCAAAGCAUGGAUUACAUAACUAAAAUAUUUUAUUUUGUGUAUGGAUAGACUUUUGAUUUUGGUUUAUGUUUUUUACAAGUGUUACAAGGUGGUAUAGCCAUAUCCUCAUCGUCGUUGUCAUUAUCAUCAUCAUGGUGACCUUUGUAAACGUGUGGAGUCAUUGCCUCUUGACAAACCAUAGCUUCUUACUAGUUACAUGACCCGCACGAUGCUGCGGGUUAUUUUUUUUUUUUACAUAGAAAAUAUAUUAAAAAACUAAGAUUUAAAAGUGUUAGGUUUUUCUGCAAAGCUAUACCCAAGAGUCUUGGGUUUGACUGCAACACCUGACCUAAGAGUAAUAUUUAUAAUAUUAAUAAUAACAUUAAACUUGCAUGGUCCAAGUUUGCUACAACAUCGGACCCAAGAAUAUUGAAUGUGGGUCUGGCUAUAAGAUCGUGUCAUAAAAGUGUGAUAAUUCAAUAGAUUAAUUAAAAAGAAAAAAACAAAGAAAAAAAACCAACAGGAAAAAAGAAACUAAUGAAGAAAAAGAAAAAAAUUUGAAUUAAUUGGGUUAACCCUUCAAACCAGGUUAACCCAUAAAAUCUGGGAUUUGCGUCAUGAAAGUUUGAUAACUAAAUAGAAAAAACAAUUGACGGGUUUACCCAGAAUUAACUGGGUUAGCCCGUCAAGUCCAGGAUACGUGUCAUGAAAGUCUGAUAAUUAAAUAGAAAGAAAUUUAACAUUAACAAACUAAACUAAAUGAAAAGAAUUAAUUAAAAAGAAAAAAAAUCUGAGUUAACUCGUCAAACCAGGUUAACUCAUCAAAUUCGGGAUCCGUAUCAUGAAAAUCUAAUAACUAAAUAAAAAAAUUUAACAGUAAUAAACUAAAUCAAACAAAAAAAAUUCAUUAAAAAAAGAAAAAAAAAGAAAAAAAAACAGUUCUAUAAUAUAAUAUAAUAUAAUAAUAAUUAUAAUAUAAUAAUUAUAAUAAUAUAAUAUAUUAAUAAGUGAAAGGCGUGGGAAAGCCUCUUUUACAUUUUUCUCUUUAUAAAGUCACCAUGAAAGUCUUGACAUGUCGAGUUGAUAAUGAGGUUUGCUCUUUUUAUUAAUUUUUUGGAUUCGAAACGUGGAAUCAGUAUUCGGAAUCGAUAUGAGAGAUAUACAUUUAAAAUCUUUUGGAGAAAAGUUUUAAUCGUAAUUAAUAUAUAAAUUGAUUUGAAAAUAUCACUUUGUGAUAUAUAUAUAUAUAAUUCUUUUAGAUACCAACAAUGUUUAAUUUUUGAGGAGAGAACCAGACAUAUAAAAAUGAAUUGUCACUUUAUUUGGGAUAAAGAGGGUGUUUGGAGUGUGGUAGUGGUUGCUUUUCAAAUAGCUUUUCGUGCCGAAAUACAUGCCAAUGAUGUUUUUUUAUUUUUUAAAAAUCAUUUUUGAUAUCAGCACAUCAAAACGAUCCAAAAGAUACAAACCGCACUCAAUUUUAGCAAAAAAAAAAAAAAAAAAUUUGAAAUUCGCUGAAAAGCAGGUUGAACAGCAGAGCCAAACGCUCCCAAAAUACAAAAUGGUUCAAUCAUGACUAAAUUUGUUAUUUUAGCAGAACAACUUGGGGAUAUAUUCACUAAACCAUUAGAAAAAAAGAGAUUCUCCACCAUGAUUUGCAAAUUGAAAAUUCUUGACAUUCACUCUCCAACUUAAAGAGGAGUAUUAAGAAAGGAUCAACAAUAUCUCACAUUUACGUAAUAUAUUAGGAAACAUAUGCUGACAAGGACAUCUAUUUAUAUUGUAACUCUUAUUCCAAAAAUAGCUUAGAAUAAUUAUAGAAAAAUAUUUUUGUAUAUUGCUGUUACGACAGAUUUAAUGAAAUUUAAUUAAGUUGGCAAAUCUUUUUUUUUCCUGAUUUUACAAUUUUUUUAGAGCUCCAAUGUUAUCUGAAAAAUAGAUAUAAAAUGAGGAGAAUCUAAUCCAGUUUGAUUUUAGUUUUUUGAAUGUUUUUGGGUAUUUUGAAUUGAUGAAUUGGUCUCUAAGUGUUCCAAUAAUGUUAUUGAGAUGUUUUUGGGUUGAAUGACUUAAAAAUUAGAGAUUUUGAAAAACAAAAGUUUUGCUUUUAUUUUUCAGCUACCAUAAAAUCUAGACUUACAAGUGAUACGUUGUCAACCUUGGUUUAAAUGUAAAAAAGUCUCACGCGUUUUUUUUUUCCAAGAAAAAUAGGGGCAAACAUUCUCCCUUUUAAAAAUAAAGUAAAUCCUAGACACGCGGCCUGGGUUUAAAUGGUCACUCACACGCUCAAGAUUUUCCUUAAUAGCCUAGGUGUGCUAGGCCAUAGAUUGGAGUGUCUGGUUUUUUUUUUUUUUUUUGCCCUCUUUGUGUGUGCGCGCGCACAUGAGCGCAUGUCGGUUAAGUAUAAGUUUAAGAUAAAAAAAUUAUCUUAGUUGAGUCCAUGAUCUAGAUCAUAAAUUUGAUAAGUUAAAUCAAACUCCUGGGCUAUUAUUUAUUUUCUUCUAAUUUUGUUUUUUUUAUUGAUACCUUUUUUUCAGCAUUUCUUUUUUAAAAAAUUAUUUUAAUAAAUAAAAUAUAGCAAAUAUAAACGAGUAAAUAUCAUGUCUUACAAGAUUAAAUAUCUUAAUUUAUAUAUGUUUAGAUAUUGUUAAUGACUUUUUAUUUAUCUAUUAACAUGCAUAGUUUUCAAUUUAUUUAAUUACAAGUACACAUAUCUAUUAACAUGCAUAGUUUUCAAUUUAUUUAAUUACAAGUACUCAUAAACCUUUUGUUUUGUGCUUAAAUUUUUUAAACUAUAAAUGUACCGAAAAACAUGCUUAUAUAAUUUUGUUUUAUAAAAAAUAAAAAUAUCUGACUUACGGUAAAUCACGAGUCACAUAACUCUUUACCAUUAUUUUAUAUAUUCAUCUUUAUUUUUUAAUCAGAUAUAUUUAUAUAUCUUUUGCAUUUAUUAAUUAUUAUCGGACGAGUAUUGAACUUACAAUGUAGGACGAGUCACAUAACUCAUUAUCAUUAUUUUAUAUAUUUAUUUUUAUUUUUAAUCAGAUAUAUUUAUAUAUUUUUUUUUUAUUCAUUAUUAACGGGAGAGCAUUACGUUUGGUGGUGUGUCGUAAUACAAUGUAGAGUAUUUUUAAUUAAAAAUAUAUAAGAAUAAUAUUUUUUAAAGUAAAUCAAAUUAAAGUAUUAAGACAAACGGAGCAUAGAACGAGGAGGACAAAGAACACUCUAUAAACUAAGGAUUCCAAAAUCAGCUGUUAUAACAGGAUGAGCAGUAAAUAAUCUCAGACUGGUCAGGAAAGCCUAUGACCUCCAUGAAAACAAUGAUAGUCUGUCCCUAUUGUAUAAUCAGAAGAUUUAAAAUGUUAAAGAAAUCAUACCACAGUGCAUUAGCAGGGGAAAUGAAGAGGACAGGUAACUUACUCUGCUGUCUACAUUUCCAAUGUCAAAGUGCUCAUUCACCCUCCUAAGGUUAAACACAAGUCAAAACUAGUUUCUACAACAAAGAAAAAACCCCAAAUUUGAUUUAGCAUAUCAACAAGUUUUAAGUUCAUGAUUUGAUUUCUGGAGCACAAAACUUUCUCUGACUUAAACUCCAUAAAGCAAGAGGAGAAGGUAAAACUGAAGAUCAAAAUUAAAAGACUUGCACUGAAUUUUUCUGUCAAUACACAGAACCAUUUCCUGCAACUGAUCCGGCCAGUUCCAUCGUCUACAAUGAGAGCAACAUCAAGAACCUUUUCAGCUUUACCAUAACCUACAUCAACAAGAUGUCAAAACUUGUUAGAAAAAUAAGCUAAACAAUUACUGUGUUUAUUUCAACUGAAACCGACAAGAUCAAUAAUUUUCAGUUCCUCGAAUAGAAAUAUGAAAGCACAGUAAUAAGAGGUAGUAAUGAAUAACAGAAAAGGAGGGGAUUUGAGAUGGAGAGAUGAGAGGCCUUACUUUUAGAAGAGGAGUGGUCUUUUGUGGUAAGCUGACUGAGAGGUAUGAAUCCAUCACCAUAGGCAGCGGAGGAGGUUCCGAACUGGAUGCCGGAGGAGUUAGAGACAGAAUUUUUUGAAAAAAUAUAUGAGAGACGUGGGGAGAGGGCAACAUUUACAUGGAAAUAGAGUGUUCACAACUAAACAAGAGAUUUUCCACUGAAAUUAAAUGGCCACCUUGCCAAAAAGCAGCUCCUAGAAUCAGAGAGACAAACUGUAGCUCCAAAAAUCCUACUGCACUCUUACCAUAUCAAUAGUCCAAACAAAGAUGCUCUGAAGCAAUAUCAAACUCCUAAUGGAACAUGAACUGGAUAUUAUCAAACUUUAGAAAACACAGUAGAUUAAAAUUUUGAAUGCCACAUAUAUUUAAAAUUUAUAAAUUGAAUAUGAUCAAACUUUAACAUCGAGGCACUGAUAUUAGCUUUGAAGGCAGAUUUUUGACGAAAAGACAAGCACCAUCAUAAAUCAUCAAAUUUCCUCUCUCAACUAUAUCAUAAUGCUCAUUCGCCCUCUUAAAACUACAACACCAUUUCUUCACUGCCACUAUAAGAAAUAAAAUAAUAAAAAUGUUAUGUUCUACAUUUCUCACUUGAUUUGUUGGAUUUUCCUACACUUUCUGGGAAACCAAUCACGUAGCUAGAGGGAUAACUUAUUUAAAAAAGAGAAGCCUUUGCUUGUUUAAUUAGCGGAAUAUUAAAUUAUUUCACUUGAUGUUAUUGAAAGAUAAUUUCAUUUACGGAUAUUAUUUAUAAAAGAGAACCGUUUACUUUGUUUAGAAAAUUAAAGAUAUGAAGUAACUUAAGUUGAAUUAGUCUAAUACCUGGUUUGAUGUGGGUGUCUGAUGUUUGCUUGAUCCAUGCCACACAGGAGUGCACUGUGAUGAGUCUACCAUCUGAGUCUGAAUCAAAGUAUUACUAUGCAGUUUCAACCAGAGAAAAUACUCAACUCCAGGUAUGAUCAACCAACAGGGAAAUGCAACAUGUGCGCAUAAUGCUUAUCGGUCAUCAACUCCAGACAUCUUAUUGAUAUUUCAAGAUUUAUCAAACGCUACGGAUCAAGAGCAAGCUACUGAAAGUUCCAGGUCUUGCAAAGAGCAUCAUAUCUGGGAUUUACGAUAGCUUCCACCUCUCAACUCCAUUGGCAUCACUUGCAAUGUAUAUCGGACAUUCAUCUCUAGCUUGAUAAUGGCCUGGAAAACACCAUGAAUGCAAAGUAUCGAUCAGAAUAUGGUAUUACAUGAAAACAAUGUUAGUCUCUAGGUAGCUCCAAUACCAUCAUUAAUGUUGGGUAAUUUGUUUUCCCAAUUAAUUGAGAAAAUGUUGCGAAUAUUCAAAGAAAAACAAUAAUAAUUUGAUCAGAUGAGGGCUGUGGAUGAUGGAAUAAAUAGAUAGAGAGAAUAUGAUAAAUUAAAUUAAAUUAAAUUCAGGAAGGAAGGAAGAGGUUAAAAACCUUUGUAUUUAAGAAUAAUAUCCUUCCGGUGAAAAUGCUCUAACCGUCAAAUAUAAAAAGAUAGAUUUGUUGAUAAUAAAAUAAAUAAAUAAACGGAGAGAGAGAAAGGGUAUGGAAUAUGGAGUAAUAAUAAUAGAAAUUUGAAAUUUUUUAAUUUUUUUUUAAAUUAAUAUUUUUUGGUGUUUUAGAUCAUUUUAACGUGUUAAUAUCAAAAAUAAUUUUUUAAAAAUAAAAAAAUAUUAUUUUAAUAUAUUUUUAAAUAAAAAAUAUUUUAAAAAAUAACUGUAACAACACAUUCAAACGGAAUGCGAGAUUAAAAACCUUAGUAUUUAAGAAUAAACAUAAAAUGCUCGGUUAAAUGCUUGGGUAAUUUGUCAUUUUGUUGAGGGGGGAGCUGAACCCCAUUCCCAGUUAAUUGAAAAAUGUUGCGAAUAUUCAAAGAAAAACAAUAAUAAUUUUAUCAUAUGAGAAUUGUGAAUAAUAAAUUAAAUAAAUACAGAAAGAGAGAGAGUAUGGAGUAAUAAUAAAAGAAAUUAAAUUAAGGAAGGAAGGGAGAGGUUAAAAACCUUUGUAUUUAAGAAUAAAGAUUAAAAUGCUUGGCUAAAUAAUAUCCGUACGGUGAAAAUGCUCUAACCAUCAAAUAUGAAAAGAUGAGAUUUAUGGGUAACAAAAUAAAUAGAGAGGUUAAAUACCUUUCGUAUAUGUUCGGUGAAAGUGCUCUAAUACUCAUUACAAAUGAAAGAGUAUGGAAUAAUAAAAAUAAAAGAAAAUAAAUAAAGGAAGGAAAGGAGAGAUUAAAUACCUUUCAUACACACACGUGUAAGUGUUUGUAUGUAUGUUCGGUGAAAAUACUCCUUAGUAGUGCCAUCUCAAUCCUUCACCCUUUACAUAGCGACCCUCCUUUUGAAUGUAGUAGCCAUCAAUUCCAAUAUCUGGAAUGUGUUUAAUGUUAGGAGGCCACUCCUCCUCCCUCUCCUUUCCCCAUCCUCUCGUUCUUCUGCUCAGCUCUUCACUGCAGUCCUCGAUUCUUAACCGUUGCAAAGAGGGAAGGUAGGGUAUCAUCCCUUGAGAUUCAGAUUCAGAUAGCGACUUCAAUUCUCUGCAGUCAAAGAUAAGUAAUUUCUGAAGAGAAUGCAUCCCCUGAUCAGGCAGUGGCAGAGACUUCAAUCUUGAGCAUUCACAGAUCGAUAGCGAUUGAAGAGAAGAGAGAUUUUGCAGCCCUACUUCCGGAAGAGAUUCCAUGUCAUAAAUUGAAUACAUAAAUAGUAUCUUCAAUUUGGAGAGAGGACGGGUAAAUGAAGAAGAAGAGACUGGUGAUGUCAUCUUCAUUGUCUGCUGUAAUGGCAUUGAACUAGUGUUGAUCAAAUUAAGAUCUUCAUCGAGAGUUGGAAACAACGGCAUUGAAGUCAGAUUUGGACACACAACAAUGCUCAAAGAAGAAAGACAUGGAAAAAAGAGCAUUAUCAACCCUUCUUCUAUUGUUGACUCAUCUCUAUCAUCAUUCAUCUCAUCUCUACUCCAUCUCUUCCACCAUCCCUUCAGUCUACGACAAUGCUUGAUAACAAGUGUCUUUAAAGAUGGGAAAAACGUCGACCCUCCUAUUCCUCCAACCCCCUCACUAUCUAUGUACUCCAAAUCAUCCAAUCCCACAAUAUUUAAUUCUUCAAGAGAAGGGAUUCCAUGCAAGGGAGGGAUAUGCGUAAGUCUUCUACAGCGUUCUAGAUGAAUCCUUACAAGAUUUGAGAGAUUUGAAACCCAACUAGGAAACCUCAUACCUCCAUAGCCUUCAACUAUCAACUCUUGAAGACUCGAGUUUGGCCGGAGGCUUUGCAACAUUUUAUCAUACAAAUCAAUAUCUGAAUCACUAUCCAGGUCUGGGUCCCACCGUACGGUCAACGACUGAAGAUAUUUUUUAUCGAUCAAUUUAGCUCCUUCAAAUUCUGAUAUACAAGAACCACCCUCAUAUCCCUUUGCUCUUAUUUCUAGCCUCCCUCUCAAUUCAUUUAACCUACUCAACUCAUCCAAUCCACCUAUCAUCUCAUAUUUAGGACUCCUUUUUUUUGCAACCACAAAACAUGACAACGUCUGUAGACUAGUUAAUUUCCCAAUCCCACGAGGCAUAUACUCUAAAUUCUGACAUAAAUCACCAUCACGAUAGCAACCAACAUCAAGAUGCCUCAGAUUAAUUAGCUUACCAAUAUCCCUAGGUAGUUCCUUAAGUUUCCUACAACCAUUGAGCUUGAGCACUUGCAAAUUUACCAGACUGGUGACAGAAUUAGAAAGCGCCUCCAUCUCAUUAUUCGAAAGAUCAAGAUAUUUAAGGUGCUUGAUCUUUUCAAUGAGAGGUGACGCUUCCUUCAUUCCAAAAUCACUCAAAACAAGCACACGUAAACACCUAAACUCUCGACAAAUAGACUCCCAUGACCCCUCAUCCCAUUUUCCACCUUGCAACAACACAAGUGUUCUUAGACGUUGUGCACAAGGCAAAGACAAAUCUAAUUCCGUGUCAAAUGACACGUGCCGAGUCAAUUCACUAAUCCUAUUUCCUAGACGCUCCACUUUGAUGCUCUGAAAACCAGCGACAUGGGUUGCAAGAUCAUGCAUAAAAUCAUGCAUUUUGCAACUUUUUAUGUUUCCAAAUCUAUCCUUUUCCACUUCGUGAAAGAAGGACCUCCAUAGUAAACUCUCAAAGCACUUGAGACCAACAAUCUCAAUACACCUCCGACCUGAAUUUGAAGAGCUAACAAACCCUUGUGCAAUCCAAAGUCGAAUCAAAUAUUUUAUAUCUAUCUUAUGACCUUUGGGAAAUAAGCUACAAUAAGCAAAACAAUGCUUCAAAAAUGAUGGGAGAGCAUCAUAGCUUAACUUAAGGGUCUGUAUGAUGUUAUCAUCUCUAAUGCUAUCCGGAAGUUCAUCUAGUAUAAAGGACAACCACUGGGCUCUAUCUUUCAAAGACAUUAACCUCGCAAUUGCCUUUAUGACCAAAGGAACUCCACCACACCUCCCUACAAUCUCUUCUUUAAUAUUCCUCUCAUCGACAUGACCCGACUCCUGGCCUUGAGGAAAUGCCUUUCUUCUAAACAGUUCCCAUGACUCAUCUUCAGACAGACCUUUUAAAACAUGUGGUUCUAUUGGCCUUGUGAAAUUGGCAAUUACAUGAGAACGUGUAGUUACCACUAUCUUACUUCCUACUGCAUCACGUGGUAACAACUCCUUCAACCUAUCCCAAUUUUCACCAUCAUCCUUACCAACCUCACCAUCCCACACAUCAUCCAAUACAAGAAGAUACUUCUUUUUUUCUAUUUUCCCUUCAAGCUUUUUUUUCAGACUCUCUAACUGAUCAUCAGAAUCUCCAGUACCUACAGCCCCUGUGAUAAUCUUUCUAACAUCUAAGCUGCCUGAGACACUUACCCAGAGUCUCACACCAAAGUGCGCCUUAACUUGCUCAUCAUUGAAAACAUGUUGAGCUAGUGUGGUCUUCCCCAACCCUCCCAUUCCAACUACGGAGAUGACAGAAACAUUAUGUUCAUAGUUGGAAUUCAUCAGAAAACUUUUAACUGCCUCUUUGUCUCUCACUCUCCCAACUGUUAUUUCAGGUUCAGAUGAGGUAGUUUGCUCCCUCACAGUGGUCGAAGAAGCUCUCUCCUCACCACGAACAUCAAAUUUGAAUUUUUUACUGUCAGUUCCAAUGUCAUCUAGUCUCUCUCUAAGUGCUUUCACUCUAUGACCCAUCCGUAAACCAUACACAAAUUGGUUUGAUCUUGAGAAAAAAAGGCGUACCUCCCUCGAUACUCUUUUCCCAGGCAUCAACUGUUUCCGCAGAACUUGUGUUGAGAAAUCGUCCAGCAAAUCCUCUGCAUCGUAUACAGCUUCCUGCAGCUUCAUGAGCCAGUCUUCGAUUUGAUAGUUCUGUUUUUGUGCCUGCUCCUCAGCGUCUUGAAUCACAGCCUUAAUCCUGGUAACUGUGUCAUUGAGCUUCCGCAAUUGAUCUUUGAGCCCCCACCAUAGUGCAACCUCCUGAGCAGUUAGGGAACCUAAUGUCUUUAUUAUUUCCUCCGCAAUAGUGAAGAGCACACCUUCAGCCAUUUUUUCUUUGUAGGUUCAGAAAGGAGUGGGUAGAAGACAAACUCAAAGGAGAAGAAGAAAGAAUAUGUAGUUGGUUUGGAUUGGUGAUCGUUUAGUAUGCUAAAAGGGUUUUAUAUAGUGAAGUAGAUUCCGACGUUAUCCAAACAGUACUCAAAGCAAUGUGUGGAUACUGUCUAAGCUACCAAUAAAUAUCCCUUAAUCCUUAGGUUUUUGAGCUAAAUUAUAACUUAACUCUUUUUGGUUUAAAAAUCUAUAACUUAAUCUCUGGGACUUAUUAAGAAAAUGGCCUCCGAGUGUUGAAGAAUUAAGCCUUUCAAAUGUAAAUGACUAUAUUAUAAUCACAUUCAAAUCCAAGGGACUACAGAAUGAUUUAGUCUUAAUAUUUAUACUUAAUAAUUAACUAGUAGCCUAGGCGACCACACUUGUAUUAAUUGUAGGUCCCAAGAACAAAGAUUAAGCGGCCAGUGGAAUCUGUCGAAGUCUAAGUCAAGCCAGCCAGUUAUGACUUGGUUAGCACUGAUUGAAAGCAAUAAUUUAGACAGACCUGGAAUAGUUGGUUCGCAAGCAAUAAUUUCGCAAGCAAUUAUGUAGAUGCUGCAGAGCACAAGAUGCAGAAGGACCAGAAAAUAGACCGCUUCAGUCUUCAGAGGAUGCAUCCUUUUCCUGUACUAAUAUUCCAUUAAUUUAGACAGAAUCACUAUUUUGCAAAAUUCGGUGACCGGUUCACGUGAAUACUGUCCCUGUAGACUCAUUUAGAUUCAAUAGAAUAAUCUUUGAAAAUAUCAUCAGGAAAAAUGUCACGAACCGAAUUUCAAAUCUAUAAUCAGAAACGCAGGAGUAGCAUUGAAAGAAUAUUUUAUCUAUGAUAAGUCUCAAAACAAACAUAUUAGAAGAAUAAAUUAUUUAAAAAUACAUAGUAUUUUAUAAUUUUCAAAAAUAUUAUAUUAUUCAAAACUAAUAAAACCAAAUGAUAGUUCAAAAUUUCUCACUAGUAAUUAAAACAAAAAAAAUAAUCUAUAAUAUUCAUUACAUUGUCAAAAUCCAAACUUAAUUCAAAUAAGGUAAUAGUUGAGCGUCUAAGACAUCGAAUCAAAACUAAAAGGAAAGCCUCGCAAAAUAAGUAAAACAUACCAACCAAAACUGAAGAAGCAGAAACACUCAACAAAGUUCACCUGCUAACAGAAACUAAGAACUUGAAAUAAUAUUAAGAAUGAAUGGCGAGUUCAACCAACUCAGUGAGGGGAUAACAUUUAAUAUGCAUUUUAUAUAUUAAUAGUUUGCAAGUUGAUUUAUUUUGAUAUACAUAUACAUAUCAUCUUGGCCAUGUAUCAUGGAAAAGAGAAAACAACCAGGAGUUAUGUAUUCUAGCACAUUAUCAUCAAUGCCUUUCUAAAGGAAACAAUAUCCACACGAGCUGUAAAGGAAAUCGAGCAAACACAUCAACAACCUGAAAAUUAAGCUUCAGUUACUCCAAUUCGAUCGAGAAUUGUCUGUAUGUUCUCAUCAAUCAAGUUCAUUUAGAUUCAUAGUCUAUCAGUCUCAAAUGCCCUAACCAACGCCUUUACCUUGUUCUUUCUCUCCUCAAGUAGCUUAUUCUUAGUCUCUUCGAUCACAUCAUUGUAUGCAGCAUGAGAUUCCUUUUUAUUGCCUUGUACCACUUGCUUCUUUUGUGGCGAAACCGUGUAGGGUCAGAAAAUAAAGGAUUUGGCAGCAUGGUGACUUUAGAAGUAGAGAUAGGAGUAUCAACUGGUUUGCAAGAGGUCAUACCCGCCCGAGUGAAGAUGUCAAGAAUAUACUUAUGCUGGUAUAACAUUAGACCCAUAGCAGUGGGCUGAACCUCAAUGCCCAAAAAAUAGUGAACGACGCCUAAGUCACGAAGCUUGAACUCUUAACUCAGUAACUAUAUUAGGUGGUGAAACAUAGCUGAGUUGCUACCCGUAAGCAAAAUAUCAUCAACAUAAACUUGAAGAUAAAAGAUAUCAGCACUAAUAGACAAGAUAAAUAAGAAGGUGUCAACCUUGGAAGCAUGAAAGCCAUUUGAAAUUAGAAAAUCACUCAAACGAGUGUACCAUGUCCGUGAAGCCUGUUUUAAACCAUAUAAAGAUUAUGCAACUGGCACACAUGAGAGGGAAGAGUAAAGUCAACAAAACCUGGAGGUUGUCUCAUGUAGACCUCUCCGGCAAGAACACCAUUGAGGAAGGCAUUAUGAAUAUCAAGUUGAUGAAUAUUUCAAUUACACGAGACCGCAAUGGAGAACACUAAUAUGAUUGUCGCGUGCUUAACAACUGGACUGAAGGUUUCAGAAUAAUCAAUGCCUUCAUGUUGAGUAAAGCCUCUAGCCAUCAAACAUGCCUUAUAGCGCCCAACACUGCCAUCCACAUGGUGUUUUAUCUUGUACACCCAUCGGCAACCAAUAACAUUCAUCGAAGGAAUAAAAUGAACCAAGGACCAGGUGUUAUUAGAGCGUAAAGCCUGAAUUUUAUCAUGCAUAGCACCAUGCCAUGCCUCAUACCUGUCAGCAUCAGAGAAUGUAAGGGGCUCACAAGCAGGAGAAGACAAUACCCAACAGUUGGGUGCAACAAAGGCUGCUGUAAACGCUGUUAGAAUAGCAGUCUUCGGCAGCCGAGGAUGAAGAACCAUCGGAUGUUGAUGAGCAGCAGACCGAGGGGCAGAAUGAUCUGAACUGGGGAGAUGCUGAAGAGGAUAAGAUGAGAGAUCAACAAAAAGUUGCAGACCUGCAGGAGAAUCAGAGGAAGAAUCGGAGCUCACAUCAGCAGAUGCAGGAGAACUUGCUGCAGAAUCAGAGGAGGCUACAAUGACAGACUUGGAAAUAUACGACCCUAAAGGAGGUGAACAUGUUCCUGCAUAAUGAUCAUUAGAGAAACAUACAGAUGGUGACAUGGGGGUAGGGCUAGGUGGCGGUGGUAUGGCGGCAGACAGGGAUGUGGAACGGUGGGGCUGAAGGUGUGGCACAGCGGCUGUGUGAGGUGUUUGGCGGGUCAGCCGAGAGAAAGUCGUGGGAGGUGAUCAAAGUGAGCAAGUGUGUGGGUUGUAAGGGAGUGGUUGGGGGUUAAGCUAGGUGUUCAGAGUUUGUAAAAGGAAACACAUUUUCAUGAAAAAGAACAUAACGAGAGACAUAUAUACGUUGAGAGGCGAAAUCAAGAAGAAGUCUGACAAUCUACCAUAAGAUGCAGGACGUCCAUAGAGAGAGAGGAGAGUAACGCGCUUAAAAUAAGCUGAUUCUAUUGCUUCCAACGAAGAAAAGAGGGGUUGAUUACCAAAGAAGAACCAUCAAAACAGUCAGAAAACAUGACAGCGAGGACACGAUACUGAGCCAUCGACAAAGUGGAAAACAUCUUGACCAAGAAGAUAUGGCUUCAUCUAAAUUCACCAAUAGAGAUAGUUGGUGGUCAUAAGCUUUAAUAAGACCACUUGAUGAGUGUUGGACAACGCAACGAUAGAAGGAGUUGUUGUCCCUAUGAUGUGAAGAGGGACGACAGAAACAUGGGAGAAGGAACUAUGGUUCUGCUCUGCUGGUUGGGGCUACUAAUGGUGGGAGAAGGAACUAGCAGCAGCAGCUUAUGAGUGGUUGGUUGGCCGGGCUGCACCACCGGUUUGGUUAGGGGAGAAAGCGGCGGCGACAGCAAAGUCCAUUUAGGAGAGGGAGAGAGGAGGUCGGCUAUAGGAAAGAGAGGGAGAGAAGAGUUCUCACGGCAGAAGGCUCUGAUACCAAGUUGAGAAUAAUUGGGAGGUUUAACCUAUUGGUUAGCCAACCUUGUCAAUGUAUAUGUGUAAAGCAAUAUACAAUAGUAAUGGUAAGGUUACAAAACAAGAGCAUGACUACAAUAUUUUUCUAUAUAGUAUGGCUAAAAUAUUUUCUAUAUAGAUACAUUAAUAGAUUAUAAUACAAAUAUUGGUUGGACAUUAUUGGAAUCGUGUAAUCAUCCUACGUCCAUAUGAUCAAAAUUAAUGUUGAUCAGACCAAUUUGAAUUUUCUUUUCUUUUUCUGAUAUCUUUUCUUUUGGUUUUUUAUUAUACGGUAAAAUGCAUCUUCAAGUUGAUUUGAACCACAAUUUAAAAAAGAUUCUUCUUUAAGGGUCAAUUCUUCUUAUCGAUAUAAUACAUUCAAUUUUUUUUAAUAAAUCUUAUUAUUAGUGGUUUUGAGAUUAAAAUUCCAAAGGUUAAGAAUAAAGCAAGCAUUUUUAAUAUCAAGUAAAUCUUAAUACCUCAUGCGUUAGAAUAUAUUCGGGGUUUUAUUAAAAUAUAUUCGAAAACCUAAAGGUUUUUUUAUUAAUUAAAAAAAUCAAUUUUAGAAUAAAAACAUUUAUAAAAACGGAGCAUAAAACUAGGAGGAAAAAAACACUCUCUAUAAAGGUGUGUUUGCACCGUGUUUUUUUAAAAUUUGAUUUUUUUUAUUUAAAAUAAAAAAAUUAUGUUUUCAAAUCUUUUUAAUGUGCUAUAUGAAAAAUAAUUUUUAAAAAAUAAAAAUAAUUUAUUUUAAUAUAUUUUUAAAUAAAAAUAUUUUAAACCGUCAAAACCCGUAUAAUCUCAAACAAAUCUUAAAGCUAGAUAAAUAAAUAGGUACACGUCGAGAUACACGAGUCACACAACAAUGAUGAAUUGCGGGACUAACAAACAAAGCACGCGGGACCAAUCAGAGGUUAACAUAGUGCUGAAAUUUAUGGAUUGUGAUUAUUUAAGAUUUUGGUAAUAAUUAUUUUUUAAAAUAAUUUUUAAUUAAAAAUUUAUUAAAAUAAUAAAUUUUUAUUUUUAAAUUUUUAUUUUAAUAUUAACAUAUCAAAAUAAUUUAAAAAUAUAUAUAAAAAAAUAAUUUUAAAAAAAUAAAAAUUAUUUAUAAAGCAAGCACAUCAAGAGCUAAAAGUUUAUUUUAGAUAAAAGUAGUUAAAGCACUGGCAACCUUUAUAUAUUAAAAAGAAAAAGGUAAAUAUAUUUCUAAAGCUAAAGUUUUAUUUUAGGAAAAAGUAGUUAAAGCAUUAGCAACCUUUACAUAUCUUAAGAAAAAAUGGCAGUGGAGUGCAGGACAUGUCUAAAGCUAAAACUUUAUUAUUGUUUUUUUAAGUAUAGUAAUAAUUAUUUAUCAAAGUAUUUUUAUUUAAAAAUAUAUAAAAAUAAUAUUUUUUAUUUUUAAAAAUUAUUUUUGAUAUUAGCAUAUCAAAACAUUCAAAAACACCAAAAACAAAUUAAUUUCAAACAAAUUUUUUUUAAAAUUACAAAACACAGUCCAUAUUGUAAAGUGAAGCAGCACACUAGUGACAUCGUCAGGCUGCAUUUAUAUAUGAUACAUUAUUCAGUGAGCUUUUUCUAUUCAAACAUGGUAUCAGAGCAAACAUACAUGACAGUCUCAUCUCCUUCUGCCUAAAUUUAUUAUUUAAUGAGUAAUUGAGUCUUCCGGAAAAUAAUAUCUUACCGGCGGCUGUACACUUCUAAACUUGUCUUCAAAAAAAUAAAUUUAUUUGUGCGAUCUUCAAUCACCUACGCGUAUGAUAGCUAUGAAAAAGAUAAAGUAGGAUUGUUUUAUCGAGUCCAGCUACCACUAUAAUUGCAUUCCAUCAUUUUCUCUUCUUUCCCUGCCUCUCUACUUUCUUCUAUAUUGUGGAUGGGUGGGACUGGAAAUAGGAAACGGCACGGGGUCUCCUGUCCUUCAAAAACAGGAUCAAAAUCCAAUAAUGGCGGAUAAAAAUAAUGCAGAUCCCGUGGGUCAGGAUGUUGACAUAUAUAGUAUACUGAAAGAUAUUCACAUGCAAAAAAACCAAAAGAAUUGUCAGAAUUAUAUUUGGCCAGGUAUUCCUUUCCAAAAGAUCCAAGUUGAGAAACACCAGAUCCGUCAUCAGACAGGACGAGUAUUGGUUUCACGGUGGAGGGCAUGUGGAAUCUCUAGGAUCGAAUAAGAGCCUGGAUAUCAAGGAUCAAGGCUAAAUGGGAACGAAACGGAGAAACAUCACUAAUAACACAUUGAUUUUCCAUCAUUUCCAUAGACUUGCCUCCAUCAAGCGAAGUAGCUGCUGGAAAACAUUUUUGAAGCUCUAGAAAUGGGGAUUCUGCAGACAGAACUGUUUCACAGAUGAAAGAAAACGAGUUUUGCAUUUCUAGAAUCUUACGCCUAAUAAUGAAAUAUCACAGGCUAGGUUUCACAUUCUGUAUUUCUGUUGCUUUCUCAGCAGUCAGAAGAGAGAGCAAAUCCUGAAUCCUAACACUAUUAAGACACAUUGCUUUCUGAAGUCAGUUGCUUUCUGUACAGAGCAUCUUAAAUUUCGAAUUAUAGGACUAUAAAUUGUCUGUCUACACAAAAUCUUUACAUUAUGAAAACUAAUUGAUGUGUUAAAGAAUUAAUGAAAGAGUCAGGCACCAAGGGAAUCUCAAUUAUUUAAACAAUGAUGGACGCACACGAAACCAAGUUAAUUGGACUGCACUCAACUAUGUUAGUAGUUCCUCGGUUUGCUUGUAAGAAAUCAAUCACACCAAAUUAAAUCUGAAGAAUUAGUUAAAGAAAAUCAAAGAACAUAAAGAUAAUUGGUUAAAACUAAAAUGAAAAUAGCAACACAAUGUUCUCAUUUCCAAACAUAAGGUGAAGAAACAGAAAUUAUUAAGCACUUGCAGAAAACACAGCCGAAAAGGUGACAAACAUAAACACAGUUGGUGAAAUCCAUGAGAUUGAUGUUGCUUGUCUUAUCGAUUCACUCACAGCAAAUGAGGAACAAGUUAUGAAUAGCAGCUUUCCAUUAACAUUCUCAGAGAUCACAUCAGAAUGUAUCAGUACAAAAGUACAGAUCCUUGCACUUCAUUUGAUGAGUGAGUAGGUACAAGUUUGUUAAGAUUUGUAUAAGAAAAAUAGUCGAAACUAACUGCAUUCGUCAUGGAACCAAAUCAGAGCCUAGGAACAUUCCUGCAGAUUUAAACUUCACCAGGUGGCUUUAUAGUGAAAAUCAUCUCUUGCAAUGUAUAUCAGACAGUCGUCAUCAAGUGAUCUAAUUGAUUCCCUGCCAGAGACAAAAGUAGAGAAGAUAAAUAAUGGAAUUACUUGAUUCCUGCAGAGAGAGGGUAGUGGGGUGAGAGAUUACUUGAUAUUGUCCAUAGAUCAAAAUGAAACAACUUAUACUUGUUUUACUAUCAAUAUGCAGAACUGUC
rnacentral:lncRNA from 1 species